AACGCACAUUGCGCCUUAUGGUAGUCCGUAAGGCAUGCCUGUUCGAACGUCAUCAAACCCCUCGAGUCCUCUGGCUUAUUCGGUCACAGGAGCCUCGGUGUUGCUCUUGGAGGGAUCCCGUGUUCCUCCUGGGCGAAAUCCAUCGUGCUUAUCCACAGGUCGCCAAAGCGUAGUAAGCCUCAAAAGCUCUCGCCUGGCAGCAGACUCUGCUGGCAUCAUGCCGUUGAACCCCAAAACCCUUAAGCGUUUGACUUCGGAUCAGGUAGGGAUACCCGCUGAACUUAA
rnacentral:misc_RNA from 1 species